CCUACGGGAGGCAGCAGUGGGGAUCAUUGCACAAUGGGCGAAAGCCUGAUGCAGCCAUGCCGCGUGUGUGAAGAAGGCUCCUAGGGUUGUAAAGCACUUUCAGUGGGGAGGAAAAGCUCAAAAUUAAUACUUUUGAGCCCUGACGUUACCUGCAGAAGAAGCACCGGCUAACUCCGUGCCAGCAGCCGCGGUAAUACGGAGGGUGCGAGCGUUAAUCGGAAUUACUGGGCGUAAAGCGCGCGUAGGUGGUUUGAUAAGUUAGCUGUGAAAGCCCUGGGCUCAACCUGGGAACUGCAUUUAAAACUGUCGGUCUAGAGUAUGGUAGAGGGAGGUGGAAUUUCCUGUGUAGCAGUGAAAUGCGUAAAUGUUGGAAGGAACAUCAGUGGCGAAGGCGGCCACCUGGACUAUUACUGACACUGAGGUGCGAAUACCUGGGGAGAAAACAGGAUUAGAUACCCUGGUAG
rnacentral:rRNA from 1 species